GACGAACGCUGGCGGCGUGCUUAACACAUGCAGGUCGAGCGGUAAGGCCCUUUCGGGGGUACACGAGCGGCGAACGGGUGAGUAACACGUGGGUGACCUGCCCUCAGCUCUGGGAUAAGCCUGGGAAACCGGGUCUAAUACUGGAUAUGACUCCAUGACGCAUGUUGUGGGGUGGAAAGCCUUGUGCGGCUGAGGAUGGGCCCGCGGCCUAUCAGCUUGUUGGUGGGGUGANGGCCUACCAAGGCGACGACGGGUAGCCGGCCUGAGAGGGCGACCGGCCACACUGGGACUGAGACACGGCCCAGACUCCUACGGGAGGCAGCAGUGGGGAAUCUUGCGCAAUGGGCGAAAGCCUGACGCAGCGACGCCGCGUGAGGGAUGACGGCCUGGUU
rnacentral:rRNA from 1 species